GCUGUGAUGCAUCCGAUUGCGUUGAUCAUCUGAGAUGAGACUUUGUCCUCUAAGAAGUUCUGAGCUU